CCCAACCCCCCACCCCAUAAUGGACACAGUUCAGGCCUGGAUCACAGAGGGAGACUCUAAGCAAACUACUACAGAACUAGCCACAGCAUUGUUAAUCAGGCCACAUCUUUCCACAGUGUGCUAACCACUAAGCAGAGUCCCGCUCCAACUAGCUUGAGUGGCUUUUAUUUCUGAAAAUGAACCCUCACUGGUGCAGCAAUAGAAAGAGGAGAGACUCCAAACUUGGAUGGUUUCAUUUCGACUGACCUGAUGGGAGAAAGGAAAAGAAGCAAGAAAGAGGAAUGAAGAUGGAGAGCAGAUUAUAUAACCUGGCAGAAGGCAGCAGAAAUGGCUGAGGGAUGUUUGUAAUAACAUAACCGAAUAGGCAAUAAAG